CCUUCGGCUCCCUCAGAUGCGCGCGAGGACCUGGUAGCCCAGGUCGAUCAGUUCCUACGAGAGGCCCUCGAGAAGCCAAGGGAGAGGCUUUCUGUGCUAAGAAUGGAGCAAGAAAUUUUGAAGUUCAUUCAUGACCCUAGUCGUACA